AUUGAACGCUGGCGGCAUGCCUUACACAUGCAAGUCGAACGGCAGCACGGGAGCAAUCCUGGUGGCGAGUGGCGAACGGGUGAGUAAUACAUCGGAACGUGCCCAAUCGUGGGGGAUAACGCAGCGAAAGCUGUGCUAAUACCGCAUACGAUCUACGGAUGAAAGCAGGGGAUCGCAAGACCUUGCGCGAAUGGAGCGGCCGAUGGCAGAUUAGGUAGUUGGUGAGGUAAAGGCUCACCAAGCCGUCGAUCUGUAGCUGGUCUGAGAGGACGACCAGCCACACUGGGACUGAGACACGGCCCAGACUCCUACGGGAGGCAGCAGUGGGGAAUUUUGGACAAUGGGCGAAAGCCUGAUCCAGCCAUGCCGCGUGCAGGAUGAAGGCCUUCGGGUUGUAAACUGCUUUUGUACGGAACGAAACGGCCUUUUCUAAUAAAGAGGGCUAAUGACGGUACCGUAAGAAUAAGCACCGGCUAACUACGUGCCAGCAGCCGCGGUAAUACGUAGGGUGCAAGCGUUAAUCGGAAUUACUGGGCGUAAAGCGUGCGCAGGCGGUUAUGUAAGACAGUUGUGAAAUCCCCGGGCUCAACCUGGGAACUGCAUCUGUGACUGCUAGCUAGAGUACGGUAGAGGGGAUGGAAUUUCCGCGCGUACAAGAAAUGCGUAGAUAUGCGGAGAACA
rnacentral:rRNA from 1 species